GACGAACGCUGGCGGCGUGCUUAACACAUGCAAGUCGAACGAUGAAGCUGGAGCUUGCUCCGGUGGAUUAGUGGCGAACGGGUGAGUAACACGUGAGCAAUCUGCCCUUGACUCUGGGAUAACUGCGGGAAACUGUAGCUAAUACCGGAUACUUUCACUGGAAGGCAUCUUCUGGUGAAGAAAGAAUUUCGGUCAAGGAUGAGCUCGCGGCCUAUCAGCUUGUUGGCGAGGUAACGGCUCACCAAGGCGACGAAGGGUAGCCGGCCGGAGAGGGUGACCGGCCACACUGGGACUGAGACACGGCCCAGACUCCUACGGGAGGCAGCAGUGGGGAAUAUUGCACAAUGGGCGCGAGCCUGAUGCAGCAACGCCGCGUGAGGGAUGAAGGCCUUCGGGUUGUAAACCUCUUUUAGCAGGGAAGAAGCGAAAGUGACGGUACCUGCAGAAAAAGCACCGGCUAACUACGUGCCAGCAGCCGCGGUAA
rnacentral:rRNA from 1 species